CUACUGCUCCACUUAAAGGAAGUUAAAACUGUGGAAGUAUUUUGGGGGUGAAGGUUAAAAUAUCUGUAAACCAAUUCAAUAGGAAUUACAAACGGAAGAAAUCAGUACAGUCAAAGGUUCCCUGCUUGUCAAAUAUGAUAUAACGUUUGUGUCGUGGUCCAAGAGCAGUCUCAGCACUGCUUUCCUUCAGUGUUUUGGAAAAUGCAAACAGACAUGUUAAGGCUGUGUUUCCAAGCCAAUUGUAUUCCCAAAGGAAGGCUCUGAGUAAGUGCUAGACAAGCUCGCCUGUUCCAGGACUGGCAGGAGGUUGCUGAAUCAUCCUGAGGCUGAAGAAAUCAGAGGGUAACUCAUGGUCAGUCAUUUCUUUCAACCAUUUGCUUCAAAGCUGCAGUGCACAGGAAUUUUGGUUGGUCUCUUUUAUGAUUUCCACCUAAGGAAUGUACGCAAUACAUUUGGUUCACACACUGACAAAUAUGAGAGGAACACUUCUCUUAAAUUCCCUGUGGGUAAAGGAGGCCUGAUUACAUAUCACAAAGAUAAUACAACAACCUUGCAUUGCUAUUGAGAUGAAUCAACAGAAGAAUCUUCUUCCUAUGGAGAAAAAUGGGAGAGGUUAAUAAAUGCUAUAGAGAAGUUAUGCA
rnacentral:lncRNA from 1 species